rnacentral:lncRNA from 1 species
GCCACAGUUUGGGUUUUAGCAACUGAUUGGAAAGUGAUGCCAUUCACAUUGGACACGUUUAAAUUUGAGACGCUAGUGGAACAACCAUGUAUAGACACCUACUCGGCAAUCCUGCAUAUGAUCUCAACAUCAGAAGAGAGAUGUGGGCUGAUGACACAGAACUGAGAAUAGCCAGCGUUGCCACUGGGAGUAACCAUCACAUAUGUGGCAAAAAAGGCCAUUGGCGCAGAUAUAAUCACCCAGGCGGGAUGUGUAAAAUGGAAAAAGAAGGCAACCUAGAAGCAGGAUUCAACGUAUCAGAUACAGUAAUGAAGACAAUAAGAAAUUGGAUUGAUCCAGGUCUGGAGUUUUGCCACAGAGUGAAAUGGAACAACAAUAUGCAGGAGAAGUGAGGAUACUGAAUUCUACUUGAAAAUUAUACAGAAACAAUUUCUUAGAAUGCUCACAAAAGACCUGAAAACAUGGGGAGGAAGCAGGGCAUUUACAGAUGCAGUCUUGCUCUGUUGCCAGGCUGGAGUGCAGUGGCGUGAUCUCGGCUCACUGCAACCUCCGUCUCCCAGGCUCAAGCAGUUCUCCUGCCUCAGCUUCCUGAGUAGCUGGGACUACAGCUUAUAACUCAUGCAAAACAACAUGCUGCAAUGUUCUGAUGAAAUGCUCCUCUACAGUCGAGGCUCCCAGAAGGCAGAGAGCAUAUUCAUUAACUCAUUCUGCUCAACACUUAGCUCAUGUCCAUGGAGAGAUGUUGAAUAUGAGCUCCUAUUAAAAAGAGGGAAUACAAUCAAUCAUUUGAGAAUGUCCAAAAAGAACUUUUCCUUUCCAUCGAGCCUUACAAAUUAUUCUAAGAUUGUUUCUGUAAAUACCAUGUAAUUGGGAGAGAUACACAGGGAGCGUCAAUUGUGUCUGUAAUGUUUUACUGCUUAUGAUAAAAAGAUCUGAAACUAAUGUGACAAAAUACUAAGAUUUCACAGAAUUCAGUGUUGAGUGUCCUCUAAGUUAUUAUCUUUAUUCUUCAAAUAUUUCAUAAGGAAAAAGAUGGUGGGAACUUACAAUAUUUAUUAUUUUUUUGGAGAAUGGCUGGAUAAUAUACAUUGAAAUCUGCUAAGAAUUUACCAGAAGGAAGGAAAGAGAAACACACACACACACACACACACACACAGAGAGAGAGACAGAGAGAGAGAGAGAGGAAAAAAAAAUAUAUCCUUGGAAUGCCAAGCCCAAAGAUGC